rfam:Erinaceus europaeus unplaced genomic scaffold scaffold00740, whole genome shotgun sequence
ACAAAGGCUCUUUUCAGAGCCACCCACAACUUACAAAAGAACUGAG